rnacentral:rRNA from 1 species
CUUGAACGCUGGCGGCAGGCCUAACACAUGCAAGUCGAGCGAGCGGCGGACGGGUGAGUAAUGUAUGGGGAUCUGCCCGAUAGAGGGGGAUAACUACUGGAAACGGGGGCUAAUCCCGCAUACUAUCGGCUGAACCCGUAUGGGAUUAGCUAGUAGGUGGGGUAAAGGCUCACCUCGGACAAGAUCUCUAGCUGGUCUGAGAGGAUGAUACGCCAAACUGGGACGUAGACACGGCCCAGACUCCUACGGGAGGCAGCAGGGGGGAAUAUUGAACCAUGGGCUCAAGCCUGAUGCAGCCAGGCCGCGUGUAUGAAGAAGGCCUGAGGGUUGUAAAGUACUUUCAGCGGGGAGGCGUUACCCGCAGAAGAAGCACCGGCUAACUCCGUGCCAGCAGCCGCGGUAAUAC